rnacentral:lncRNA from 1 species
CCAUCAGCUCAAUGACAUCAUCACCCUCACAGUCCAUCCGUCCAAUCAUCUCCAUGGCCACUCAUGGUCCAUCUGUCCAAUAUCCGUGUCCAACAGAGUUCCAGAACAUUCUGAGGGUCCCACCAGCUCAAUGGCAUCAUCACCCUCAUGGUCCAUCUGUCCAAUCCCUGUGUCCAAAGAAGUUCCAGAACAUUCCGGGGGUCCCAUCAGAUUCUCACCCUCAUUGUCCAGCCCUCCAAUCAUCUCCAUGGCCACUCAUGGUCCAUCCAUCCAAUCCCUGUUCUAGAACAUUCUGGAUGUCCCAUCAGCUCAAUGACAUCAUCACCCUCACGGUUCAUCCGUCCAAUCAUCUCCAUGGCCACUCACGGUCCAUCCAUCCAAUCCCUGUUCUAGAACAUUCUGGGUGUCCCAUCAGCUCAAUGACAUCAUCACCCUCACGGUCCAUCCGUCCAAUCAUCUCCAUGGCCACUCAUGGUCCAUGUGUCCAU